UUUUCGAAGCGAUUAGUUUACUAAGAGCGGAGAUGUUGCUAUCUUAGUGGCGGACGGGUGAGUAACGCGUGGGUAGCCUGCCUUGCACUGGGGGAUAACACUUAGAAAUAGGUGCUAAUACCGCAUAACAGUAGGAGACGCAUGUCUUUUACUUGAAAAUUCCGGUGGUGUAAGAUGGACCCGCGUCUGAUUAGCUUGUUGGCGGGGUAACGGCCCACCAAGGCAACGAUCAGUAGCCGGCCUGAGAGGGUGAACGGCCACAUUGGGACUGAGACACGGCCCAAACUCCUACGGGAGGCAGCAGUGGGGAAUAUUGGACAACGGGGGGAACCCUGAUCCAGCGACGCCGCGUGAGUGAAGAAGUAUUUCGGUAUGUAAAGCUCUAUCAGCAGGGAAGAAAGAAAUGACGGUACCUGACUAAGAAGCCCCGGCUAACUACGUGCCAGCAGCCGCGGUAAUACGUAGGGGGCAAGCGUUAUCCGGAUUUACUGGGUGUAAAGGGAGCGUAGACGGCGAUGCAAGUCUGAAGUGAAAGGCGGGGGCCCAACCCCCGGACUGCUUUGGAAACUGUAUGGCUGGAGUGCAGGAGAGGUAAGUGGAAUUCCUAGUGUAGCGGUGAAAUGCGUAGAUAUUAGGAGGAACACCAGUGGCGAAGGCGGCUUACUGGACUGUAACUGACGUUGAGGCUCGAAAGCGUGGGGAGCAAACAGGAUUAGAUACCCUGGUAGUCCACGCGGUAAACGAAUGCU
rnacentral:rRNA from 1 species